GAUGAACGCUGGCGGCGUGCCUAAUACAUGCAAGUCGAGCGAACAGACGAGGAGCUUGCUCCUCUGACGUUAGCGGCGGACGGGUGAGUAACACGUGGAUAACCUACCUAUAAGACUGGGAUAACUUCGGGAAACCGGAGCUAAUACCGGAUAAUAUAUUGAACCGCAUGGUUCAAUAGUGAAAGACGGUUUUGCUGUCACUUAUAGAUGGAUCCGCGCCGCAUUAGCUAGUUGGUAAGGUAACGGCUUACCAAGGCGACGAUGCGUAGCCGACCUGAGAGGGGGAGCGGCCAAACUGGAACGGAGACACGGCCAAAAACCAUAGGGGAGGGAGGAGUGGGGAAUUGUCCGAAAUGGGAGAAAGCAUAAGGGGGAAACCCGGGGGGGGGUAGGAAGGGUUUGGGAUGGAAAAACUCUGUUAUUGGGAAAAAAAAAAGGGGAAAGUAAAUAGGCACGUUUUGAGGGUACAUAAUAAAAAAGCAACGGCUAACUAAGU
rnacentral:rRNA from 1 species